AUUGAACGCUGGCGGCAGGCCUAACACAUGCAAGUCGAGCGGAUGAAGGGAGCUUGCUCCUGGAUUCAGCGGCGGACGGGCGAGUAAUGCCUAGGAAUCUGCCUGAUAGUGGGGGAUAACGUCCGGAAACGGGCGCUAAUACCGCAUACGUCCUGAGGGAGAAAGUGGGGGAUCUUCGGACCUCACGCUAUCAGAUGAGCCUAGGUCGGAUUAGCCAGUUGGUGGGGUAAAGGCCUGCCAAGGCGACGAUCCGUAACUGGUCUGAGAGGAUGAUCAGUCACACUGGAACUGAGACACGGUCCAGACUCCUACGGGAGGCAGCAGUGGGGAAUAUUGGACAAUGGGCGAAAGCCUGAUCCAGCCAUGCCGCGUGUGUGAAGAAGGUCUUCGGAUUGUAAAGCACUUUAAGUUGGGAGGAAGGGCAGUAAGUUAAUACCUUGCUGUUUUGACGUUACCAACAGAAUAAGCACCGGCUAACUUCGUG
rnacentral:rRNA from 1 species